AGGUCAUGAUGUGGACAUUUGCGCAAUACAUCCUUGUAUCUCUCGCAUGCGUCAUAUAAUGAUUCAUUCUCAAAUUGAGUGAAGGUAGUGAUAUCAUUUCAUAACUU